UUUUCUUCCUAGCACACAUUACUCUGAAAAUAUGUUGUCUAUUUACACCCAUGUCAUCUGUUUCCCCCACUGGACCAUGAGUUCUGUAAAGGCAAGGACCUUGUCCAUCCAUCCACCAUUGGAUCCCCUGGCACAAAGCACGAUGCCAAGUACACGUUUCCCACGUGAUGAACUGGAAAGAGUUCAGGCCCUGGGAUCACACAGAUCUGGACUCCUGCUUCUGUUCCUCACUGGUUGUGUGACCUUGGACAAGUCACUUAUGCUCUCCAAGCCUCAGUUUUCUCCUCUGUAAAAUGGAAGUAAUGAUCCCAACCUAACAGAGCUGAUGAUUAGAGCUGAUCUUCCAGAGAAGACCAGCUCCCUCAGGGUGAGAGAUCUGAGACGGGUCUGACUCCCAGGGCCUCUUCCCUGAAGGGAGAGGCUGAAGCAGGACACCUAGAUCUGGGGGAGACAACCAGAGUUGCUGAAGGUGUUGGGAAGGACAUGGCACAGGCCUGCUGACGCCUACACACUUGCCUGGCAAGUAGAACCGCCAUUGCCACAGACACCACCGCAUGGGGACUCACCCCAGGAGGACAUCCCUCAUGCUCAAGCAUACAGCACCUCGUGCUGGCAGGAGAGCA